rnacentral:tRNA from 1 species
GUUGAUAGAGCUCAGUGGUAGAGUGUGUGCUUAGCAUGCAUGCACAGGUCCUGAGUUCAAUCCCCAGUACCUCCA